rnacentral:rRNA from 1 species
CCUACGGGAGGCUGCAGUGAGGAAUAUUGGUCAAUGGACGAGAGUCUGAACCAGCCAAGUAGCGUGAAGGAUGACUGCCCUAUGGGUUGUAAACUUCUUUUAUAUGGGAAUAAAAUGUUCCACGUGUGGGAUUUUGUAUGUACCAUAUGAAUAAGGAUCGGCUAACUCCGUGCCAGCAGCCGCGGUAAUACGGAGGAUCCGAGCGUUAUCCGGAUUUAUUGGGUUUAAAGGGAGCGUAGGUGGAUUGUUAAGUCAGUUGUGAAAGUUUGCGGCUCAACCGUAAAAUUGCAGUUGAAACUGGCAGUCUUGAGUACAGUAGAGGUGGGCGGAAUUCGUGGUGUAGCGGUGAAAUGCUUUGAUAUCACGAAGAACUCCGAUUGCGAAGGCAGUUCACUGGACUGCAACUGACACUGAGGCUCGAAAGUGUGGGUAUCAAACAGGAUUAGAUACCCUUGUAGUC